CCGCUCAAUAAGAAAGAUGUCGUCGUUUGAAUAUGUUAGAUGUGAUUUUGUGUAUUAUUAUUUAAGGUUUUCUGUUAUUAUGAGGCGCGUGACGCAGAUGAAUAUAUUGGAGAAUAUCCACACUAGGACACGUGACGCGUCUUCAAAUUCAGCCAAUCAGCUGAUUGCUCCACCCAAAACCUGCCCUCAUGACCAAGAAGAGGAAUAGCAAGAAAUCAAAACAAGGGCGUCUUGAAGAAGGUGUAGACCAGCCUUCUUUGGACAGGCUAUAUCCUUCUUCUUGAAUCCUUAAAUCAGAGUCAGUCCUCCACAAGAUGGUGUCUGGUGAUGUGAGCAAGAAAUCAAACAAGGACGACGUGAACACCCAGCCCGCUGAACAGCAUCUUUGUACAGUGAAAUGAACCUUCAUCCUGAAAUGUGAGUUUCUCCAGCCGUAGAGAGACGUCUCCAUCCUUCAGUCCACCAGACUGACCUGACCUCUGAGUCAAAGAGGUUCGAUUCCUGAAACAUUCCUGGAUGUUCUGGAUCUUCCCAUCAUUAUAGAGGAGAACAGGGUUGCUGAACUCCUCAUUACGGUACCAGCGGAUCUCCAGAGCUUCAGCGUUCUCAGGAGGAUUGAUCCAGCAGGGCAGAAUCACUGUGGAUCCCACAUGAGCCACUACAGGAUCACCAGGAACCACUACAGUGAACGACACUGACACACACAGAAACACACGCUCAACGAAAAAAACAGUGUGAAUCAGCUCUCCACAAGAUGGCAUCCAGCGACGUGACCAUGAAGAAGAAAAGCAAGAAAUGAGGACGUCUUGAAGAAGAUGUUGACCAACCUGCUGAGGAACAUAUUUGGACAGGUAGGCCUAUUUCUUGUCACG